rnacentral:rRNA from 1 species
GUGGGGAAUCUUGCGCAAUGGGCGAAAGCCUGACGCAGCCAUGCCGCGUGAAUGAUGAAGGUCUUAGGAUUGUAAAAUUCUUUCACCGGGGACGAUAAUGACGGUACCCGGAGAAGAAGCUCCGGCUAACUUCGUGCCAGCAGCCACGGUAAUACGAAGGGGGCUAGCGUUGCUCGGAAUUACUGGGCGUAAAGGGCGCGUAGGCGGACAGCUUAGUCAGAGGUGAAAGCCCAGGGCUCAACCUUGGAAUUGCCUUUGAUACUGGCUGUCUUGAGUUUGGGAGAGGUGAGUGGAACUCCGAGUGUAGAGGUGAAAUUCGUAGAUAUUCGGAAGAACACCAGUGGCGAAGGCGACUCACUGGCCCAAUACUGACGCUGAGGCGCGAAAGCGUGGGGAGCAAACAGGAUUAGAAACCCGAGUAGUCC